rnacentral:rRNA from 1 species
GCCAGAUACAGGCUAGAUUGUUGGAUUUGUCGACGGUGAAGGUUGUUUUCACGUGGCUCUGAACAAGCUCGAGAAUAUGACCCUCGGUUGGCAGGUGCUUCCGGAAUUCCGAGUUGUUCAACAUCAGCGUGAUGAAGUCGUUCUUCACCAGAUUCGAAGUUUUUUCGGAUUUGGCAAGGUGACAAAAAAUCACGGUGACAGGAAAGAGUUUCGAGUCAGGGGUUCAAAAAACCUCAAUCAGCUCGUUGCGUUUUUCAGAUGCAACAAGCUGAGAACGCCAUCAAAGCAGGUGGCUUUUGAGACUUUCUCCAAAAUAGUUGAAAUAAUGGAUAAAGGAAAUCAUCUGACCACAGAAGGAUUGCAUGAAAUUGCAGUUCUUGCAUCGAAGAUGAACUGACAGCCAAAGCUCAAGUAUCUGGAAUCCUCAGAGACUAAACGCCGAACCGACAAGUAAGUUGGAAGAUAUAGUCCGACCCUUGCAGCGAUGUAAGGAGGUUUCCUAAAAAAUCCGUUGGAUUUUUUUGGACGCCGGAAAAUAAAGUUUUCCGAGCGCGCAGAAAUGCGGGCCCGCCAUCGAAAGAUGGUCAGUACCUGUCUGACAGGGAAGCAACAGAUGUGAGCGUAAUACCUUGUCGAUUGAAUGUCGACUUGCAUGAAUGGCGUAACGAGAUUGCCGCUGUCCCCAACUAGAAUCCUCCGAAAACUCUUUACUGGUGCAAAGGCCAGUGAGUUCCAGUGGGAAGCGAAGACCCCGUGAAACUUUACUGUAGCUUGUUGUUGUGACGUGAGCUCUGCUGUGUAGCGUAGGUGGUAGUUGCUAAAGCGUGUUCGUCAGGAUACGUGUAGACAUCCAUGAAACACCACUCUGUAGAAUUUACGCCACUCACUCCUUGUGAGGACAUCAUCAGGUGGACAGUUUGGCUGGGGUGGCACUCCGUUGAAAAAGUAUCAACGGAGCCCAAAGAUCGGCUCAACCCGGUUGGAAAUCGGGUGUGGAGUGCAAAGGCAAAAGCCGGUCUGAUUGGAUUUCCACCAGCACGAAAUUCAAACGCGAAAGCGUGGCUUAGCGAACCUCAAUACCUCCUUGAUGGGGGUUUGAGAUGACGGAAAAGUUACUCCGGGGAUAACAGAGUUGUCGCGCUCGAGAGCUCAAAUCGACGGCGCGGCUUGCUACAUCGAUGUCGGCUCUUCCUAUCCUGGCUGUGCAGAAGCAGCCAAGGGUGGGGGUGUUCACCCAUUAAAAGGGAUCGUGAGCUGGGUUCAGUACGCUGUGAGGCAGUAUGUUUGAUAUCUACUGGAACUGUUAUGUAUCUGAAAGGAAGGAUCCCCUAGUACGAGAGGAACGGGGGUUCGGCGCCUCUGGUCCACCGGUUAUCCGACAGGGUAGGCCGGGCAGCUACGCGCUAUAUGGAUAAGAGCUGAAAGCAUCUAAGCUCGAAGCCAUCCUUGAAAAGAGAUACAUUGGGACACGGAUAGAAGAUCCGUUCAAUGGAGUCGGUGUGUAAGCACGAAGCUUCGGCGACGUGUUCAGCAUGCGACCCCCAACUGUCCUUACCUUGUUGC